AAUUCAACUACGUAAUGCUCAACAACAGUAACCAAAUUCAAUUUCAGUCGUUUCUUCUGUAGUUGACUAUUUCGCAGAUUAGCCAAUUAGUUGAACUUGGAGUCUGUCAACUUACCUGGCAUAUAAUUCUUCUGUUUUGUGCAUUGAGCCUGUUCGAGUUUGUGAAGGAAUCAAGGAGGUAGUUGUGCUGCGAGAGUGGCGAAAUUUCUUCCGUAAUCAUUGUUGAGGGUACAAUCUGCUACUGUUUCACUCUUUUGGUAGUUUUCGUCUAUCUCGGGCUCCAAUUCAUGUAUUGGAAAUUAGACCACUAAGCUUCAACUUCUCAGUUUUCCAUUUUAUUUAUGCCCUAUCCAAUGGUACUUUGGUUUCUGGUAUAUACUCAGUUCCAAAAAGUAUAUACUUAAUCAUUCCUUCUAGCAAUCUAUUGAACCACACAUCUGAUUCUUUACUUAACACAUUCGACUUGCUCAGAGUAUACAUACCGUUAUGCCUUAUUGGUACCGCUAGCUAAAUAUAUGUAUGCUGCAACAACCAAUUGAACAUCUCUAUAUACUGCAAUUUUGUUACUA
rnacentral:lncRNA from 1 species